rnacentral:lncRNA from 1 species
UAGAAGGUUAUACUUGUCACUUACAUGCUCGUGGGUGAGGCAGGUCGCUAGUAGUAGUUGAAGCAGGCCACCCUACUCGUUCCAGUCACUUGGGAACAGUUCCUGAUAGCUUUCAAUGCAGAGAAGCUCCUAGAGAAUUUUCAGGAUUUGAAAAAAAUAGAGUUUGCACACUUGGUAUAAGACAAUAUGACAGUGUCAGAGUAUCCCCGAAGGUUCUUAAAUUUGGGCUAGUAGUCCCCUGAGAGUAUGAUGGAUGAAGGCAUGAAG